rnacentral:rRNA from 1 species
AUUGAACGCUGGCGGCAGGCCUAACACAUGCAAGUCGAGCGGCAGCGGGACCUUCGGGUUGCCGGCGAGCGGCGGACGGGUGAGUAAUGCCUAGGAAUCUGCCUGUUAGUGGGGGAUAACGCGGGGAAACUCGCGCUAAUACCGCAUACGUCCUACGGGAGAAAGCGGGGGCUCUUCGGACCUCGCGCUAACAGAUGAGCCUAGGUCGGAUUAGCUAGUUGGUGGGGUAAUGGCCCACCAAGGCGACGAUCCGUAACUGGUCUGAGAGGAUGAUCAGUCACACUGGAACUGAGACACGGUCCAGACUCCUACGGGAGGCAGCAGUGGGGAAUAUUGGACAAUGGGCGAAAGCCUGAUCCAGCCAUGCCGCGUGUGUGAAGAAGGUCUUCGGAUUGUAAAGCACUUUAAGUCGGGAGGAAGGGCUGUAGGCUAAUACCUUGCAGUUUUGACGUUACCGGCAGAAUAAGCACCGGCUAACUUCGUGCCAGCAGCCGCGGUAA